rnacentral:ncRNA from 1 species
CGGGUCACGUAAGCUUGCCCGAAUGUAUCGAAAGAUACAGCACUUAGGAAUAGAACAAAAACAGUCGAGAAAGAGUUCUACAAAAGUAAAGUGCAAAAUCUGGCUAUAUGCUGGAAUUACUCUGUAUCCGACAGUACUUUAGAUCCUGAUAUCUAAGUCUAGGAUGAUAAGUAACAAUCUGUUUGGUGGAGUCAAUCAGCAGGGAAGACUCGCCUCAGGCGAGAACCCUCAGAGACUACAUGCCAGAAUUCCAUAAAGUGGAGGAUGAUAUAGUCCGAACUCAUAGGCGACUAUGAG